AGAGUUUGAUCAUGGCUCAGAGCGAACGCUGGCGGCGUGCCUAACACAUGCAAGUCGAACGUGAAAGGGAGCAAUCCCAAGUAAAGUGGCGUACGGGUGAGUAAUACAUAGGUAAUCUACUCAGAGUCUGGAAUAACCUGCCGAAAGGCGGGCUAAUACUGGAUAGAGCGACGGAAUCCGUAAUUGGGUUUUUCGGGAAA
rnacentral:rRNA from 1 species